ACGCUAUCACUCCUACGGGAGGCAGCAGUAGGGAAUAUUGGGCAAUGGAGGCAACUCUGACCCAGCCAUGCCGCGUGCAGGAAGACGGUCCUCUGGAUUGUAAACUGCUUUUGAAUGGGAAGAACCCUGUCCUUGCGAGGGCAGCUGACGGUACCAUUAGAAUAAGCCACGGCUAACUACGUGCCAGCAGCCGCGGUAAUACGUAGGUGGCGAGCGUUAUCCGGAUUUAUUGGGUUUAAAGGGUGCGUAGGCGGCGGUUUAAGUCGAUGGUGAAAGGUAGCAGCUCAACUGUUUUACAUGCUGUCGAUACUGAACUGCUUGAGUUACCAAAAAGCAAGUAGAAUUUCCGGUGUAGCGGUGAAAUGCAUAGAUACCGGAAGGAAUACCGAUUGCGAAGGCCACUUGCUAUAGGUAAACUGACGCUGAUGCACGAAAGCGUGGGAAGCGAACAGGAUUAGAUACCCUGGUAG
rnacentral:rRNA from 1 species